GUCCUGUUUCUCUGUGAGAGGAAAUCAGAAUACUUCCACGGUACCUCUACUUGCCGUAUAGUGGCUGCGCCAGGUCGAACACCUAUGUAAAAUUCUGCUAAAUAGUAUGAGGAAUUUUAAACAAAACUUGGGCGGAUUGUCCCAUCUUGGAUGUAUGCAGGGACAACAAGGGAGAGAUAGUUCAUGAUGUAGCUUAGAUUGAAGAAAAUAUGGAAAAAGUUAACAAUAGGCUUGUGGAAUGAAGAGACUCUAGA